rnacentral:rRNA from 1 species
AUUGAACGCUGGCGGCAUGCUUUACACAUGCAAGUCGAACGGCAGCACGGACUUCGGUCUGGUGGCGAGUGGCGAACGGGUGAGUAAUACAUCGGAACGUACCCAGUAAUGGGGGAUAACUAUCCGAAAGGAUAGCUAAUACCGCAUACGCCCUACGGGGGAAAGAGGGGGAUCGCAAGACCUCUUGUUAUUGGAGCGGCCGAUGGCUGAUUAGAUAUUUGGUAGGGUAAAGGCCUACCAAGGCAACGAUCAGUAGCGGGUCUUAGAGGACGAUCCGCCACACUGGAACUGAGACACGGUCCAGACUCCUACGGGAGGCAGCAGUGGGGAAUCUUGGACAAUGGGCGCAAGCCUGAUCCAGCAAUGCCGCGUGCGUGAAGAAGGCCUUCGGGUUGUAAAGCGCUUUUGUCAGGGAGCAAAUCCUUGUGGCUAAUACCCACCGGGGAUGAGAGUACCUGAAGAAUAAGGACCGGCUAACUACGUGCCAGCCGCCGCGGUAACAC